AGAGUUUGAUCCUGGCUCAGGAUGAACGCUAGCUACAGGCUUAACACAUGCAAGUCGAGGGGCAGCAUGAACUUAGCUUGCUAAGUUUGAUGGCGACCGGCGCACGGGUGAGUAACACGUAUCCAACCUGCCGAUGACUCGGGGAUAGCCUUUCGAAAGAAAGAUUAAUACCCGAUGGCAUAAUUCUUCCGCAUGGUAGAACUAUUAAAGAAUUUCGGUCAUCGAUGGGGAUGCGUUCCAUUAGGUUGUUGGCGGGGUAACGGCCCACCAAGCCUUCGAUGGAUAGGGGUUCUGAGAGGAAGGUCCCCCACAUUGGAACUGAGACACGGUCCAAACUCCUACGGGAGGCAGCAGUGAGGAAUAUUGGUCAAUGGGCGAGAGCCUGAACCAGCCAAGUAGCGUGAAGGACGACGGCCCUACGGGUUGUAAACUUCUUUUAUAAGGGAAUAAAGUUCGCCACGUGUGGUGUUUUGUAUGUACCUUAUGAAUAAGCAUCGGCUAAUUCCGUGCCAGCAGCCGCGGUAAUACGGAAGAUGCGAGCGUUAUCCGGAUUUAUUGGGUUUAAAGGGAGCGUAGGCGGGCUUUUAAGUCAGCGGUCAAAUGCCACGGCUCAACCGUGGCCAGCCGUUGAAACUGUAAGCCUUGAGUCUGCACAGGGCACAUGGAAUUCGUGGUGUAGCGGUGAAAUGCUUAGAUAUCACGAAGAACUCCGAUCGCGAAGGCAUUGUGCCGGGGCAGCACUGACGCUGAGGCUCGAAAGUGCGGGUAUCAAACAGGAUUAGAUACCCUGGUAGUCCGCACGGUAAACGAUGAAUGCUCGCUAUGGGCGAUAUAUUGUCCGUGGCCAAGCGAAAGCGUUAAGCAUUCCACCUGGGGAGUACGCCGGCAACGGUGAAACUCAAAGGAAUUGACGGGGGCCCGCACAAGCGGAGGAACAUGU
rnacentral:rRNA from 1 species